UACAGAGGUCUCAAGCGUUGUUCGGAUUCAUUGGGCAUAAAGGGUGCGUAGGCGGCGCGGUAAGUCGGGUGUGAAAUCUUGGAGCUUAACUCCGAAACUGCAUUCGAUACUGCCGUGCUUGAGGACUGGAGAGGAGACUGGAAUUUACGGUGUAGCGGUGAAAUGCGUAGAUAUCGUAAGGAAGACCAGUGGCGAAGGCGGGUCUCUGGACAGUUCCUGACGCUGAGGCACGAAGGUCAGGGGAGCAAACGGG
rnacentral:rRNA from 1 species